rnacentral:lncRNA from 1 species
AAUUUGGGGAAGGGUCUCAGCACCUUUUCUACCAAUACACCCCAGGAGAAAGGAGAGAACUGACAGGUCCCAAAUUGGGUCUGGGGUCUCUGGGAGGGACCAAAUUUGGGUCUGGGGGCUCAGGGGAGGGACCAAAUUUGGGUCUGGGGUCCUGGGAGAGAUCUGGAAUUUGGGUCUGGGGUCUCGAGGGUCUGUCCCUAAUUUAGGGAGGGGUCUCAACCCUUUUUCUCCCAGUAUAACCCAUGAGAAAUCAGAGAUCUGAGAGAUCCUCAAUUGGGUCUGGGGUCUUUGAAGGCUCUAAAAUUUGGGUCUGNAGGUGAGAAACUGGAGACAAUGAGGGGACAAACAGGGGACAGACAGGACAAACAGGUGACAAACAGGUGACAAUGACGGGACAAACAGGGGACAAAGAGAUGAAAACCAGGUGACAAAGAUGUGACAAACAGGUGACAAUGAGGGGACAGUGAGGGGACAAACAGGUGACAAGCAGGUUCCAACCAGGUGACAGCAAUAUCACAAUGUAGUGAUAACCAGGUGACAAUGAGUGGACAAACAGGUGACAAUCAGGUGACAAACAGGUGAUAAUGAGGGGACAAACACGCGAGAGCAAGGGGACAAUGAGGGGACAAACAGGUGGCAGUGAGGUGACAAACAGGUGACAAAGAGGUGGCAAUCAGGACAAACAGAUGACAAGAGACAAUGAGGCGACACCCAGGUGCCAUCCAGGUGUCCCCAAAGUGCCCCCAAGGUCCCCAGAGUGUCCCCAAGGUCCCCAGCUGCCAUCCAAGUGUCCCCAGUUGUCCCCAAGAGUCCCCAGGUGCCACCAGGAGCCCGCAGGUGCCACCCCAAUGUCCCCAAGGUGUCCCUAAAGUGUCCCCAAGUGUCCCCAGGUGUCCCAAGGUGCCACCAAGAGCUCCCAGAUGCCACCUGAGGUGUCCCCAAAGUGCUCCCAAGCUGCCACCAAAUCCCAUCCAGGUGUCCCCAAGUGCCACCCC